rnacentral:rRNA from 1 species
UAGCCUUGACAUAUAUUAGAAUCCACCAGAGAUGGAGGAGUGCCUUCGGGAGCUUUUAUACAGGUGCUGCACGGCUGUCGUCAGCUCGUGUCGUGAGAUGUUGGGUUAAGUCCCGCAACGAGCGCAACCCUCGUCACUAGUUACUAACGGUUCGGCCGAGGACUCUAGUGAGACUGCCUUCGUAAGGAGGAGGAAGGUGAGGACGACGUCAAGUCAUCAUGGCCCUUACGGCUAGGGCAACACACGUGCUACAAUGGCCAGGACAGUGAGACGCGAUACCGCGAGGUGGAGCAAAUCUAUAAACCUGGUCUCAGUUCGGAUUGUAGUCUGCAACUCGACUACAUGAAGCUGGAAUCACUAGUAAUCGUAGAUCAGCUAUGCUACGGUGAAUACGUUCCCGGGUCU